GUUUACUUUGUAUAACGAGGACUUAUCAUGGUAUGUGACGUGCAUGUGUAGGUGAAAUUGGGCCUGUCAGUUCGGAUUGUUGAGACAGCGGACACCAUCGAAACUUGAAAUUGAAGAUUGUGGUCGGUCAACAAUGAUGAAGCUCACCUUGGCCCAAGCAAUUUCAAUGGCACUCCGAUUAUUGCAUGGGAGCUACAAGUCAUGGUACCAACAUUGCCUGUGAAACUGGUGGCAGGUGAGCUAAAAUGGUUUCUGAUUGGACACCUCACCAUCUGGAUGAGUCUGCGGGAGACAUUAUGGCUUGCUUCAUUCAGGAAGAUCGCACAUCAUGAAUCAACCAAACAGAGAUGUCAAAAACAGCAGCCACUGCCUGUUCUCAACAUUAAAACAUAUUGUUUGCCUAAAUGCUCUGUACACCUGUUUCAGAAUUCUUUGAUUUAAUAAAUCAUAUAUUUGUUUUA